UUAAUUUAUUAAUUAAGUUUACUCAGACUGCAAAGUUACGCAAGAGUUUGAAGUGUCCACCCGGAGCCCCCGCCCGAAGGCAGGGUCGCCCCGGAGGCAACAGAGUCGGACAACAAAGGGUUAUGAACAUCCCGGUGGUUAGACCGGGGUCACUUGUAAUGAUCCCUCCGCAGGUUCACCUACGGAGA
rnacentral:misc_RNA from 1 species